UUUAACAAUUUAUAACUUCUAUUUGGCUCUACAGCUCAGGGAGUCAGAGGUUAAAGAAACAAACAUUUACAUAUGAGUGUCACUAAAGAACCAGGGACCUGGGAAUGUGUGCCUUUAGUUUUAACCCAUAUAUACUGGGCUCACUGUAGGGGAACCAAUAUCAGGGCUGAUAAUAACUAAAAGCGGGGAACAGUCUCUCUGCUUCCCUCUACCGCCCCCCGUCUGGACUUUACAGAGCAGCCAGAAUAGGCUUUUCAAAACAUAAACCGAAUCAUGUCACUUCCUGGUUAAAACCCUCCAACAGCUUCUCAUCCAACUCAGAAGAAAAUCCAUGGUCUUCAUCCCAGCCCACAGGCUCUACCUGACCUGGCCCCAGGCCGGCCCUCCAGUCUCCUCUCUCUCUAUCCCUCCCAGUCACACUGGCCGCGAGUUGCUCAAACACACCACAAUCUACCCUACCGCAGGCUCGCACAAAUCAUUCCUGCAUGGAGUAGUUUCUGCUCAUACUUUAAGUCCACUUAGAAAUUACCACAUCUGAGAAGCCUUCCACCACUCCCAUCUAACCUUCAUUUCUUUCAAAGCACUUAGCACAACUUGUCGUUACCUUAUUGAAUGGUCUGUUUGCUUGUUCUGUGUCUGUCUCUCUGACAAGUCAUGAAGGGAGAGACCAUGGCUCACUGAUGCAUUCCUGGUGCCUGGUACAUGGCAAAGCUAGUUCCCCCACACGUACAACCCAAGCUGGCUGAAUCCAUAGGCAUAUGCUACCAGAGUGACACCUACAGCUGUAUAUGGAGCCACUGCACUUCCAGCAUCAGCAAUGUGUAGCCAGUGGAUGGCAAAGUAGCAGAAUGCUCAGAGGGAAAGCAGCAAAAACAAAGUGCGCCCCAGCCACUUGCCGCCCUGAGACUGAAUGAAAAGCUCCUGUUGGCAUAGACAUACUCAACUUUGACUUACAACGCAGAGCCCACAGCUUUAACACUGGACAUUGACAUCUGUGGGCCAGUUGGGUGGAAAGGAACAGGGCCAAAACAGAGACAGCUACAAACAUGUCUUAAAGUAAAUGUUUAGCCUUCUGAAACCUCUUAUGCUUUUGUGACAAGGUGUAUUCACAUGUGUAGUUGUAGUAAAAAGUGUCAAGAUAGCUCUAUCCUCCCACUGAAAAUAAAAACUUCGGAAAGACAUUAAAA